rnacentral:rRNA from 1 species
AGUGAACGCUGGCGGUAGGCCUAACACAUGCAAGUCGAACGGCAGCACAGUAAGAGCUUGCUCUUACGGGUGGCGAGUGGCGGACGGGUGAGGAGUACAUCGGAAUCUACUUUUUCGUGGGGGAUAACGUAGGGAAACUUACGCUAAUACCGCAUACGACCUACGGGUGAAAGCAGGGGAUCUUCGGACCUUGCGCGAUUGAAUGAGCCGAUGUCGGAUUAGCUAGUUGGCGGGGUAAAGGCCCACCAAGGCGACGAUCCGUAGCUGGUCUGAGGGGAUGAUCAGCCACACUGGAACUGAGACACGGUCCAGACCCCUACGGGAGGCAGCAGUGGGGAAUAUUGGACAAUGGGCGCAAGCCUGAUCCAGCCAUACCGCGUGGGUGAAGAAGGCCUUCGGGUUGUAAAGCCCUUUUGUUGGGAAAGAAAAGCAGCAGGUUAAUACCCCGCUGUUCUGACGGUACCCAAAGAAUAAGCACCGGCUAACUUCGUG